GACUUAUCCAGAGCAGGCGUAGGGAACAGGCCCGGUGACGCCACGGCAACCGCCCACUAGCAACGGGAAAAGGUGCCAAUUCCUGCGGUUCCUCACGAACCGGAAGAUAAGUC
rnacentral:ncRNA from 2 species